rnacentral:rRNA from 1 species
ACAGAGGGUGCAAGCGUUGUUCGGAAUUAUUGGGCGUAAAGGGCGCGUAGGCGGUUCGGCAAGUCUCUAGUGAAAUCUCUGGGCUCAACUCAGAGUCUGCUGGGGAAACUGCCGGGCUUGAGUGUGGGAGAGGAGAGUGGAAUUCCUGGUGUAGCGGUGAAAUGCGCAGAUAUCAGGAAGAACACCCGUGGCGAAGGCGGCUCUCUGGGACGGUACUGACGCUGAGACGCGAAAGCGUGGGGAGCGAACAGGA